AACUUCAUUGCUGUUUGCUAUACUGAAAAGGUUUCCAUUAUUCAACCAAUACAGAAAUGCAAUUGCAUUGCAUUAUCCCAAUAUAUAUAUUCUUCAUAU